rnacentral:rRNA from 1 species
UGGGGAAUUUUGGACAAUGGGCGAAAGCCUGAUCCAGCCAUGCCGCGUGCAGGAUGAAGGCCUUCGGGUUGUAAACUGCUUUUGUACGGAACGAAAAGCCUCUUUCUAAUAAAGAGGGGUCAUGACGGUACCGUAAGAAUAAGCACCGGCUAACUACGUGCCAGCAGCCGCGGUAAUACGUAGGGUGCAAGCGUUAAUCGGAAUUACUGGGCGUAAAGCGUGCACAGGCGGUUUUGUAAGACAGAGGUGAAAUCCCCGGGCUCAACCUGGGAACUGCCUUUGUGACUGCAAGGCUGGAGUGCGGCAGAGGGGGAUGGAAUUCCGCGUGUAGCAGUGAAAUGCGUAGAUAUGCGGAGGAACACCGAUGGCGAAGGCAAUCCCCUGGGCCUGCACCUGACGCUCAUGCACGAAAGCGUGGGGAGCAAACAGGAUUAGAUACCCUGGGUAGUCCACGCCCUAAACGAUGUCAACUGGUUGUUGGGGUCUUCACUGACUCAGUAACGAAGCUAACGCGUGAAGUUGACCGCCUGGGGAGUACGCCGCAA